rnacentral:rRNA from 1 species
AUUGAACGCUGGCGGCAGGCCUAACACAUGCAAGUCGAACGAGAGGAGGACGGGUGAGUAAUAUCUGGGAAACUGUCUGCGGGAGGGGGAUAACUACUGGAAACGCUAGCUCCUACCGCACACCCGCAGAUGUGUCCCGAUGGGAUUAGCGAGGUGGGGAGGUAAAGGCUCACCCAGGCGCCGAGCCCUCGCUGGUCUGAGAGGAUGAACAGCGACACUGGAACUGAGACACGGUCCAGACUACUACGGGAGGCAGAAGUGGGGAAUAUUGCACAAUGGGCGAAAGCCUGAUGCAGCCAUGCCGCGUGUGUGAAGAAGGCCUUCGGGUUGUAAAGUACUUUCAGCGGGGAGGCGUUACCCGCAGAAGAAGCACCGGCUAACUCCGUGCCAGCAGCCGCGGUAAUUC